UGCAUGCUUGAGCAUUAGAAGUCUCUUGCUUAGUGCUUGAGCAUUGGAAGACUCUUGCGUGUGUGCUUGAGCAGUUUUGUGAAGUCUCAUACUUUGAUAGUAUUGAGCAGUUGUAAUCUUUGUGAUUAUAGUGAAAUCUCCUUGGAAGUGCAAGGGGGACUGGACUACUUCCGUGUUGUGGAAGGAACCAGGAUAACUGCUUGUGUCUUUGUCUUUCUUUUCUCUGC
rnacentral:lncRNA from 1 species